AUAAGCAAGUGACAGUUUCUCUUUAAUCACUCUCUUUUUCGAUUAUUGUGAUGUGAUUAAAAAGAUUUUCUUUGAUAUCACUAUUCUGUUUGAAAGUCGAAAGUUUCGGGUAUCAUUUCAUGCAAAGAGUUGAGUAAUAAACGUGGGAACUGCUUGAUAAUUAAUAGAAGAGAAAGUAAAUAAAGAGAAACUGUCACUUGCUUAUACGCCCUAUUGAAAAAUCAACCGAGAAUUCUCCAUACAAAUUUGGAUUUUCAUUAUUUUAGUAAUCAUUAAAAAUGACAAUAAUAGUUCUCGGCCCUUGCACGAGUGAGGGCCGCUUCAGAUUCGAGAACCACUUAAUCAAGCGCGAAAGUGUACGUUAAUGGUGAAAUCAUCUGGAUUGAAAUGGAAUCAUCAAAUCCUCAAAAAUGUCCGAUUUGUGGCAAGCACUUUACAAGGAAGCGUCAACUCCACGAACAUAUGUUGUCACAUGAAAACAAGGAACCAUUUAGUUGCAACAUUUGUUGAAAAUUCAUCCAAUGUCUGUCGUCAGCAAAAUAGGUUAUCCAGCGUAAAAAACUGCCGGCAACCUGCCGCACUAAGGAUUUGUUCACAAUAUUGAAGAUUAGUCUAUAUUUUUCUUAGCUUUAAGUUAGUUCCAAAAACAAUACAUUUCUACACGAAAUUUUCAAAACGACGAAAGUAACAUUUCGGUAGAACAGAGAAAAACUAUGUUGAAAACAAUUUAAAUUUAUAUUCAAAAUUGAGUAAUUAUAAGACCCUGUUCUUGAAUGGUGUUUUUUCACUAUCACAGAACGUCUCAUGUGGGUUAUUCACACACAACGUCGCCACCACGGAACGUUCAUGUACUAUUCAGACGAUCCGUCUCCUUCCAUCACAGUCGACCUCCGUCACCGUCAACAACCGAAGGUCAACUUGCUGAAGUGGACAGUUCUCUACGACAGAGUUCAAAUCGGUUCGAUACUUUUUCUUGAUUUGUGAGAGCUUCACCACCCCCUGGGUUCCAUGAACACUAAAUAUGUUAUAUAGACGUGAAAAUAACUUCACUUUUCUUUCAAAUUUUUAUGAGCCCCCCAGCUUUCUCCUCCCUCUCAAUCUCCACCCCCCCUGAACCACCACCCUUUUGAACCAUCCCUUGAAACCCGUCCACUGCAGAAAGUUCACUUGCUGAUGAGCACAGCAAUCAUCUCCACAGGAUUCCAGAGCCGCACAGAGGUGCAAGUCGGUUUGAUACUAAUUCUGUGUGAACGGGUUCUGUAUAUAUAGUAGCGCCUAUGUCAUGCGAAAUUGUCCUACUCAAUAACAUAACCAAUUGUACGGAGAAAUCAGUGUAUUGUGAACAAAAAUACAACGACGUAAUCGAAUGUAACACGAAUAA